AGUUCGAUCAUGGCUCAGGAUGAACGCUGGCGGCGUGCCUAACACAUGCAAGUCGAGCGAUUUACUUCGGUAAAGAGCGGCGGACGGGUGAGUAACGCGUGGGUAACCUGCCCUGUACACACGGAUAACAUACCGAAAGGUAUGCUAAUACGAGAUAAAAUACUUUUAUCGCAUGGUAGAAGUAUCAAAGCUUUUGCGGUACAGGAUGGACCCGCGUCUGAUUAGCUAGUUGGUAAGGUAACGGCUUACCAAGGCGACGAUCAGUAGCCGACCUGAGAGGGUGAUCGGCCACAUUGGAACUGAGACACGGUCCAAACUCCUACGGGAGGCAGCAGUGGGGAAUAUUGCACAAUGGGCGAAAGCCUGAUGCAGCAACGCCGCGUGAGCGAUGAAGGCCUUCGGGUCGUAAAGCUCUGUCCUCAAGGAAGAUAAUGACGGUACUUGAGGAGGAAGCCCCGGCUAACUACGUGCCAGCAGCCGCGGUAAUACGUAGGGGGCUAGCGUUAUCCGGAAUUACUGGGCGUAAAGGGUGCGUAGGUGGUUUCUUAAGUCAGAGGUGAAAGGCUACGGCUCAACCGUAGUAAGCCUUUGAAACUGGGGAACUUGAGUGCAGGAGAGGAGAGUGGAAUUCCUAGUGUAGAGGUGAAAUGCGUAGAUAUUAGGAGGAACACCAGUUGCGAAGGCGGCUCUCUGGACUGUAACUGACACUGAGGCACGAAAGCGUGGGGAGCAAACAGGAUUAGAUACCCUGGUAGUCCACGCCGUAAACGAUGAGUACUAGCUGUCGGAGGUUACCCCCUUCGGUGGCGCAGCUAACGCAUUAAGUACUCCGCCUGGGAAGUACGCUCGCAAGAGUGAAACUCAAAGGAAUUGACGGGGACCCGCACAAGUAGCGGAGCAUGUGGUUUAAUUCGAAGCAACGCGAAGAACCUUACCUAAGCUUGACAUCCUUUUGACCGAUGCCUAAUCGUAUCUUUCCCUUCGGGGACAGAAGUGACAGGUGGUGCAUGGUUGUCGUCAGCUCGUGUCGUGAGAUGUUGGGUUAAGUCCCGCAACGAGCGCAACCCUUGCCUUUAGUUGCCAGCAUUAAGUUGGGCACUCUAGAGGGACUGCCAGGGAUAACCUGGAGGAAGGUGGGGAUGACGUCAAAUCAUCAUGCCCCUUAUGCUUAGGGCUACACACGUGCUACAAUGGGUGGUACAGAGGGCAGCCAAGUCGUGAGGCGGAGCUAAUCCCUUAAAGCCAUUCUCAGUUCGGAUUGUAGGCUGAAACUCGCCUACAUGAAGCUGGAGUUACUAGUAAUCGCAGAUCAGAAUGCUGCGGUGAAUGCGUUCCCGGGUCUUGUACACACCGCCCGUCACACCACGGAAGUUGGGGGCGCCCGAAGCCACUUAGCUAACCCUUUUGGGAAGCGAGUGUCGAAGGUGAAAUCAAUAACUGGGGUGAAGUCGUAACAAGGUAUCC
rnacentral:rRNA from 1 species